AGAGGAAGUAAAAGUCGUAACAAGGUCUCCGUAGGUGAACCUGCGGAGGGAUCAUUACCGAGUUCAUGCCCUUACGGGUAGAUCUCCUACCCUAUGUUAUAUUACCUUUGUUGCUUUGGCAGGCCGUCAGGCCUCGGUCAGGCUACCGGCUCCGGCUGGUAAGCGCCUGCCAGAGGACCCUAAACUCUGAAUAUUAGUGUUGUCUGAGUACUAUAAAAUAGUUAAAACUUUCAACAACGGAUCUCUUGGUUCUGGCAUCGAUGAAGAACGCAGCGAAAUGCGAUAAGUAAUGUGAAUUGCAGAAUUCAGUGAAUCAUCGAAUCUUUGAACGCACAUUGCGCCCCUUGGCAUUCCGAGGGGCAUGCCUGUUCGAGCGUCAUUACAACCCUCAAGCACUGCUUGGUGUUGGGCUCCGCUGGUUUCAGCGGGCCUUAAAAUCAGUGGCAGCGCCGCCUGAGCUCUGAGCGUAGUAAAUACCCUCGCUAUAGAGACCCGGUGGCUCUCGUCAUCAACCCCCAACUUUCUAAGUUUGACCUCGGAUCAGGUAGGGAUACCCGCUGAACUUAAGCAUAUCAAU
rnacentral:rRNA from 1 species